UACAGAGGGUGCAAGCGUUAAUCGGAAUUACUGGGCGUAAAGCGUGCGUAGGUGGUUUGUUAAGUCAGGCGUGAAAUCCCUGGGCUCAACCUGGGAACUGCGUUUGAUACUGGCAGACUCGAGUGUGGUAGAGGGUAGUGGAAUUCCGCAUGUAGCAGUGAAAUGCGUAGAUAUGCGGAGGAACACCAGUGGCGAAGGCGGCUACCUGGACCAACACUGACAAUGAGGCACGAAAGAGUGGGGAGCAAACAGG
rnacentral:rRNA from 1 species